rnacentral:rRNA from 1 species
UCAUAGAGGGUGAGAAUCCCGUAUUUGACCAUUAUUUUCAGCUGUGUGAUACACUUUCAAAGAGUCGGAUUGUUUGGGAAUGCAGUCCAAAAUGGGUGGUAAAUUUCAUCUAAAGCUAAAUAUUGGCGAGAGACCGAUAGCGAACAAGUACCGUGAGGGAAAGAUGAAAAGAACUUUGAAAAGAGAGUUAAACAGUACGUGAAAUUGUCAAAAGGGAAGCGUUUGACACCAGUGUUGUUUUCUCGAAAAUCAAUUAAAAAAAGUUGGAUUUUGUGUUUGUAUGACCUUAACAGCUUCUUUCACUUUUUUCCUGCUUUUUUUAACGCACUUUUCGUUUAACAAGUCAACAUCAGUUUCUUUUGUUGUAAAAAGGUCAUUGGAAGGUGGCUUUCUUUUCAGAGAAAGUGUUUAUAGCCUUUGACUCCUGCAAUCGGAGAGACUGAGGUCUGCAGCGUAGAUCCUUCGGGGUUAGAUACAUUUGUGCUAAGUUAUAGCUUUUCAUAGACAACUUGUUGACUAUGUUUAGUCAUGUAGCUUACUCGCUUAUGCUAUUUUACCUACGCUUAGGAUGUUGA